AACUCCUACGGGAGGCAGCAGUGGGGAUAUUGGACAAAGGGCGAAAGCCCGAUCCAGCCAUGCCGCGUGUGUGAAGAAGGUCUUCGGAUUGUAAAGCACUUUAAGUUGGGAGGAAGGGUUGUAGAUUAAUACUCUGCAAUUUUGACGUUACCGACAGAAUAAGCACCGGCUAACUCUGUGCCAGCAGCCGCGGUAAUC
rnacentral:rRNA from 1 species